GAUGAACGCUGGCGGCGUGCCUAAUACAUGCCAGUCGAGCGAACAGACGAGGAGCUUGCUCCUCUGACGUUAGCGGCGGACGGGUGAGUAACACGUGGAUAACCUACCUAUAAGACUGGGAUAACUUCGGGAAACCGGAGCUAAUACCGGAUAAUAUAUUGAACCGCAUGGUUCAAUAGUGAAAGACGGUUUUGCUGUCACUUAUAGAUGGAUCCGCGCCGCAUUAGCUAGUUGGUAAGGUAACGGCUUACCAAGGCGACGAUGCGUAGCCGACCUGAGAGGGUGAUCGGCCACACUGGAACUGAGACACGGUCCAGACUCCUACGGGAGGCAGCAGUAGGGAAUCUUCCGCAAUGGGCGAAAGCCUGACGGAGCAACGCCGCGUGAGUGAUGAAGGUCUUCGGAUCGUAAAACUCUGUUAUUAGGAAAGAACAAAUGUGUAAGUAACUAUGCACGUCUUGACGGUACCUAAUCAGAAAGCCACGGCUAACUACGUG
rnacentral:rRNA from 1 species